GGAAAAGCAAGUCUUAUAAAAAGAAAUACAGUAUGUGGUGCUUAUUAAAGUUACAUACAUCUCUUCUCACAGGAGAAUUUUGAUUUACUGCAGGUUGUGCAUAUGUCGCAUAUGGACAUUUCUAGGGAACAGAUUCCUUAUCGCUGAACAGUGAAUGGCUUCUAGUACUCCAUUAUUGCUCCGGGAACAUGUUAGUAAUGAUUAUGAAAGGUAGGAUACCAUGAAAUCUGUAAGGUGAUUUGGCAGAAGUCGAUGCUGUUGGUGCCAGGAUUUGGGUACCGUACCACAGUUUCCUGUUUUCAAAUGUAUUAAUUGAUCCGCAAAGGACAUCUUUUGGAGACAAGAAUUCAGACAGACUGGCACAGGCUGGACCCUCCGCCAAGACUGCUCGGAAGGUUGCCAUACUGGGAGCAAAAGAGUGAGAGAGAAAGAGAGAGAGGGAGAGGGAGAGAGAGAGGCAGAGGGAGAGCUGAGGAAAGAAAAAAAGGCAAGACUUGGCACAGCUCAGUCAAAUCAGCUUCUUUUGUCUGCUUUCUCGGCUUGAGCUUCAGGAAAGAAAACCGUCCUGGGCAAUGAGUGACAACACUGAAGACCAGAAAGGCAAGCUGAAGACACCAGACUUCGUUUGAAGGGCAAACAAGAAAUGUGAGCUUGGUCAUUAUUUUUGUGUGUGUCUUUGCUCUGAACCAGUUUUUGGAGGUGGGUGGGGAGGUGGGUGGGGAGGUGUCUAUGUCUAAAAGAUGUGUGCGAUUAGGGAAUUCUCAUUGUGAGAAGAAAAUGAUAAAAGGUAAUUUUUAUGAUGUUGGCAGAAAUGGCUGGGAAUGGUAGAGAAUAGAAAUUUAAUCUUUUGGAUAAGAAGUAGCAAGCUGUGUUUGCAAUACUUGGAGAAAAAUUCCAUUAUUUUUAGUUGAUUAGAUUGUAUAAUUAAACGAUUACUAUAGCUUGGCUCUCUCAAAAUGUUUUAAGUAGAAGGAAAAUCUAGAAAGUUCAUGAAUUUGCUUUUCAAUAUUACCCAGUAUUUUCCUUGGAUAUAUACUUUAAAUCUAAUUUCUUAAUAAUAAAGUUUCUAUUAGGCCUGGUUAUGAUUGGAUUGUGAUAGUUCUGCUCUUAAAAAUCAGUAUUAUUGUAGGAGAGGUUAACUGUAAGGCACGUAUUUUUGUGGAC
rnacentral:lncRNA from 1 species